AGAUCUUUCCAUCCAAAAAUCCUAACAGUUCUUGAACAGGGAGGCUUACUUCAGAUAUGUGGCAUCCGAAUGGUCCGAUCUUCUUUUUGGUUUUAAUUCACAGGGAUUGCUGCUUCCACUGGAUAGAAAGCUAUGAUAUAGUAAACCCAUCAGUAUUUUGGGUUUUGGUUUAUCACUAUACUAGUUUGCAAAUGUUGGUUGCUUUAGUUCUUUUGAAGAUGCUAUGCAUGUAUUCAUCCUUACGCUGUCAACUGCAGGAAGAAGAAGUGUGGACACAAAAACCAUAUGAUUCCCGUUUGAUGGUAUCAGACACCUUCAAUUAUGCCGUUUUGAUCAAGAUGGAUGUUCUGAUCUUGAGUAUAGGAGGUCCUAGUUACUCAGAUCUUCCUCCUGUUGAGAAGGUCAAAAAUUCAUGGAUUGUUGCUUAAAGUUAUCUAAUUAUCAUUUUGGAAUGACCUUGAUAAACUUGGUUGCUUGUUUUGAUUUCGGUAAGGCUGGACAUUGUUACAUAUUCUUUACUCUUGCUUGUGUAAGUUUUCCCAGAAACUAAUUACAUUGAUUCUUGUUUGCUGGAAGUAGUGGAUACUGUUAAUUGUAUGAGCCACUUU